rnacentral:rRNA from 1 species
CGUGUAGGUGGUUAAAUAAGUCAGAUGUGAAAUACCUUGGCUCAACCAAGGAAGUGCAUCUGAAACUGUUUAGCUUGAGUACGGGAGGGGAAUGGCGGAAUUCCCAGUGUAGAGGUGAAAUUCAUAGAUAUUGGGAGGAACACCAGUGGCGAAGGCGGCCUUCUAGCCCGAUACUGACACUGAGACGCGAAAGCGUGGGGAGCAAACAGGAUUAGAUACCCUGGUAGUCCACGCCGUAAACGAUGGGCACUAGGUGUAGGAGGUUUUAUCCCUUCUGUGCCGAAGCUAACGCAUUAAGUGCCCCGCCUGGGGAGUACGGUCGCAAGGCUAAA